GCACAGGUAGCGAAGUCGAGCAACGCGAAUAGCGUCCUCGUCGAAUUGGUUAACGCGCCUGACUCGAGAUCAGGUGGCCUCACCGGCCGCGGGGGUUCAAGUCCCUCCCUGUGCGCCA
rnacentral:tRNA from 1 species